rnacentral:rRNA from 1 species
GACGAACGCUGGCGGCGUGCUUAACACAUGCAAGUCGAACGGAAAGGCCCUGCUUUUGUGGGGUGCUCGAGUGGCGUACGGGUGAGUAACACGUGAGUAACCUGCCCUUGACUUUGGGAUAACUUCAGGAAACUGGGGCUAAUACCGGAUAGGAGCUCCUGCUGCAUGGUGGGGGUUGGAAAGUUUCGGCGGUUGGGGAUGGACUCGCGGCUUAUCAGCUUGUUGGUGGGGUAGUGGCUUACCAAGGCUUUGACGGGUAGCCGUCCUGAGAGGGUGACCGGCCACAUUGGGACUGAGAUACGGCCCAGACUCCUACGGGAGGCAGCAGUGGGGAAUAUUGCACAAUGGGCGGAAGCCUGAUGCAGCAACGCCGCGUGCGGGAUGACGGCCUUCGGGUUGUAAACCGCUUUCGCCUGUGACGAAGCGUGAGUGACGGUAAUGGGUAAAGAAGCACCGGCUAACUACGUG